UGGGGAAUUUUGGACAAUGGGGGCAACCCUGAUCCAGCCAUGCCGCGUGUCUGAAGAAGGCCUUCGGGUUGUAAAGGACUUUUGUUAGGGAAGAAAAGGGAAGUGCUAAUACCACUUUUUGCUGACGGUACCUAAAGAAUAAGCACCGGCUAACUACGUGCCAGCAGCCGCGGUAAUACGUAGGGUGCGAGCGUUAAUCGGAAUUACUGGGCGUAAAGCGAGCGCAGACGGUUACUUAAGCAGGAUGUGAAAUCCCCGGGCUCAACCUGGGAACUGCGUUCUGAACUGGGUAGCUAGAGUAUGUCAGAGGGGGGUAGAAUUCCACGUGUAGCAGUGAAAUGCGUAGAGAUGUGGAGGAAUACCGAUGGCGAAGGCAGCCCCCUGGGAUAAUACUGACGUUCAUGCUCGAAAGCGUGGGUAGCAAACAGGAUUAGAUACCCUGGUAGUCCACGCCCUAAACGAUGUCGAUUAGCUGUUGGGCAGCUUGACUGCUUAGUANCGAAGCUAACGCGUGAAAUCGACCGCCUGGGGAGUACGGUCGCAAGAUUA
rnacentral:rRNA from 1 species